GACGUAGGGCGCGAGCGUUGUCCGGAUUUAUUGGGCGUAAAGAGCUCGUAGGCGGCUUGUCGCGUCGUCCGUGAAACCAGGGCUCAACCCCUGGCUUGCGGUCGAUACGGGCAGGCUAGAGUUCGGCAGGGGAGACUGGAAUUCCUGGUGUAGCGGUGAAAUGCGCAGAUAUCAGGAGGAACACCGGUGGCGAAGGCGGUCACUGGCCCGGUACUGGCGCUGAGGCACGAAGCGUGGGGGAUCAAACAGG
rnacentral:rRNA from 1 species